ACUUUGCGAUGGAUCACUUGGCUAUUGUGACGAUGAAGAACGCAGCAAGUUGCGAAAAGUAAUGUGACAUGCAAAACCCGUGAAUCAUCAAAUUUUCGAACAUAUCCAAUGCUCCUCUUUUCUUCGGAUUUGAGAAGCGCUUAAUUUCGAGUGUC
rnacentral:rRNA from 2 species